AAAUCGAAUACCUAUUUCAUCAUAACACAUUAUUACCCAGAUAUUUCAUUGAAACACAUCAUUAGCCGGAUAAUACUCCAAAUAAAGAAAACCCUAGCUGUUUCCUCCAAUAGCGCUCAUCGAAUUUCAUUUUGGCGAAAACAUUUUCGAAACUUCUCUUUCCCGUAUAGACACAAUCUAUCUCCCAUUUCUUCAUCCCCAUUUCACAAACCCUACUCUCGCUCCUCUUUCUCCAUCUUCCCCAUUUCCACUCUUCCGUUCAAUCGAAGAUGCAGACUCGAGGUUCAAGAAAGAGAGAUAACGCUGAACCAAUUGUGCUCAACCCUAAGAAACAAAGGGUUGUGUUGGGGGAUCUUUCAAAUCUAG